ensembl:lncRNA
GCUCUCCCUCUUGCUGUGUGCUCUGUGUGCUCCAUGUUCCUCAGUUUCAAUGUAGUUUGAACUUAAUUCUCGAGUUGUUGAUUUUUGCCUCAUCAAAUUGUUUUGUAUUACUUAUUUUCAGAGGUGGGAAGCACAAAUACUUCGUUACUGUGCUGAAGAACAAUUUUCAGCAGAAUGAGUGGAAGCUUCCUCUCCAAAGAGCCUCAGGCAUACCUGCCUCACCCAGAGUCAGACCAGGCUGAGCACAUAGCCGGAUACACGUAGAGUGGAGCUAAGGGGAUGGAUGAUCUUGGUCUUGAGAAUGUGAGGUCUGUUUACCAGCAGGAAACCAAAGUCUAUUCAACAGUUCAAAAAUGACUGAUCCAUAGGACUCAGACUGAUAGCUGCUGUAAAUGCAAUGCAAAUGUUUGUGUUUUGAAUGGAAAUCUUUUCAUUCAUGCCACCACUGAAAGAUGCUUCACAGCAGGUGAAGUGACCCCAAAGGUGUACCCACUGUGUUUAAAUGUGACUUAACCAAACCUCAGUACAUCCUAAGUCUCAUUACAGUGUCAACACUCAGGCUGCUCGUCUUUGCCUAAUCAUCCAUCCAUCCUAAACCCAGUCAUUAGCAUGUAUGAAUGAUAAAAAGGCUAUCAGGAAGAACGACCAUGUGCCAUAAUCCCCCUCAGCAUUCUUGCUCUGUAACACUAGGAAUCUGGUUGACAUUUCUGCUGCUCAUUGAUCCA